rnacentral:rRNA from 1 species
CGUAGGGUGCAAGCGUUAAUCGGAAUUACUGGGCGUAAAGCGUGCGCAGGCGGUUAUGUAAGACAGUUGUGAAAUCCCCGGGCUCAACCUGGGGAAUUGCAUCUGUGACUGCAUAGCUAGAGUACGGUAGAGGGGGAUGGAAUUCCGCGUGUAGCAGUGAAAUGCGUAGAUAUGCGGAGGAACACCGAUGGCGAAGGCAAUCCCCUGGACCUGUACUGACGCUCAUGCACGAAAGCGUGGGAGCAAACAGGAUU